GAUGAACGCUGGCGGCGUGCCUAAUACAUGCAAGUCGAGCGAACGGACGAGAAGCUUGCUUCUCUGAUGUUAGCGGCGGACGGGUGAGUAACACGUGGAUAACCUACCUAUAAGACUGGGAUAACUUCGGGAAACCGUAGCUAAUACCGGAUAAUAUUUUGAACCGCAUGGUUCAAAAGUGAAAGACGGUCUUGCUGUCACUUAUAGAUGGAUCCGCGCUGCAUUAGCUAGUUGGUAAGGUAACGGCUUACCAAGGCAACGAUGCAUAGCCGACCUGUAAGGGUGAUCGGCCACACUGGAACUGAGACACGGUCCAGACUCCUACGGGAGGCAGCAGUGGGGAAUCUUCCGCAAUGGGCGAAAGCCUGACGGAGCAACGCCGCGUGAGUGAUGAAGGUCUUCGGAUCGUAAAACUCUGUUAUUAGGGAAGAACAUAUGUGUAAGUAACUGUGCACAUCUUGACGGUACCUAAUCAGAAAGCCACGGCUAACUACGUG
rnacentral:rRNA from 1 species